rnacentral:rRNA from 1 species
CCUUAAAGCUACUCUCAGUUCGGAUUGUAGGCUGAAACUCGCCUACAUGAAGCUGGAGUUACUAGUAAUCGCAGAUCAGAAUGCUGCGGUGAAUGCGUUCCCGGGUCUUGUACACACCGCCCGUCACACCACGGGAGUUGGAGACGCCCGAAGCCGAUUAUCUAACCUUUUGGAAGAAGUCGUCGAAGGUGGAAUCAAUAACUGGGGUGAAGUCGUAACAAGGUAGCCGUAUCGGAAGGUGCGGCUGGAUCACCUCCUUUCUAAGGAGA